CGGUUCAUUAAAUGUGCUAUUGAAAUGUGGCAUGAGGUCCUUGAGUUUUAAGUUUAAAUGGCUGCUGAAUAAAGAUCCUUGACAUUGUCAUACAGUUUUUAUGUGUUAGGUAGAACCGCAUGAAAUUCCCUAUUUUGUAAGUAAAAAAUGAUUACAUAUUUGCAAUUUUAUAUAGUUUGACCUAAUGGACAACUAUAGAACAUCAGAAAAGGAACUUGCAAUACUUGUAACAUGUUCUAAAUCUUCCCUGAAAUUAUAUAUUAAAAGCUUUUUAUUUUUUAGGAGAAAGAAAUCAGAAGACAACAAGCUGUUCUUCUGAAGCAUCAGUUUUGUCUUUGCUGAAAUGGUAACUCGCCUCUGUGAACAGUUGAGAAAAGGAAAAAUGGAGGAAAACACUUGUGACUUGAAAAAACUACCACCUUUUACUUAUUCUAAGGAACCGAUAGAGAACCCGGACCUCUACCAGGACAUGACUUUUUCCCUGAUGAUCCUUACUGAUAUGCAUACUCGCCUCAGAGAAGCGUUGAGAAAAGGAAAAAUGGAGGACAAUGAUUUGGGUCACUUGUCAAAACAACCCAGUUGUACCUCUAUUAAGAAACCGAAACAAGAGGAGUCUCUGUACCUGACUAAUUGCCAUACCAACCUUAAUGAAAUGGAAACUCAUCUAAGCAAAGACCAGAGAAAAAGAAAAAUAGAGGAAAACACUUCUGGUAACUCGUCAGAACCAAGUUUUACUUGUGUUAAGAAAGUGAAAUGAGAUGACUUUAAGGACCUGUGCAGUAUGAUCCUUACCGAAAUAGAAAAUCAUGAGGAUGCAUGGCCUUUUCGUCUUCCUGUAAAUUUGAACUUUGUUCCUGGUUAUACCAAAAUUAUUAAGAAGCCUAUGGAUUUUUCCACAAUUAGAGAGAAAUUAAUUAGUGGACAGUAUCCAAACCUGGAAGCCUUUGCUGUUGAUGUCAGGCUUGUUUUUGACAACUGUGAAGCAUUUAAUCAAGACGAUUCUGAUACAGGCAGAGCUGGCCACAGUAUGAGGAAGUAUUUUGAGAAAAAGUGGACAGAUACUCUCAAAGUGAGUUGAAGCUACAAUAAUCUCUUUUCUCCUUUUCAAUAAGGACGAAUAAGACCAGCAAUGUCAACUGUAUUUUACAUAAACGUGCAAGGCACACGCAUAAUGACUUUCUUUCUUAGUAAAAGUAUCACACACGAAAACAAUAUCAGAAGAAUGAAACCAUUUUUAAAGGCUUCACUCCUGCAACAACCAAGGCCCUUGGUUAUUGGUUUGUGUGAUUUAUCAGCUAAUUUAGGUAGAACAGGGAAGCACACCCAAAGAAUUUUCAAAGGUAAGGGUGUUACAGAGUAACAGCAAUUAAAAUAUAUCAAAUCGCACUGAAUAUUCAACACCAGAGCUCUAAUGUGGGAGAUGGUUCUCCUUUCCCUCUCAAUAAAUAUCUACUUUUCCUUUU